GACGAACGCUGGCGGCGUGCCUAAUACAUGCAAGUAGAACGCAGUUGCGAACGGGUGAGUAACGCGUAGGUAACUGCCUCAUAGCGGGGGAUAACUAUUGGAAACGAUCGCUAAUACAGCAUACUGUGAGAUGGACCUGCGUUGUAUUAGCUAGUUGGUGAGUUAAAGGCUCACCAAGGCGACGAUACAUAGCCGACCUGAGAGGGUGAUCGGCCACACGGGUACUGAUGCACGGCACAGAAUCCUACGGGAGGCAGCAGUAGGGAAUCUUCAGCAAUGGAAGGAAGUCUGACCAGGCAACGCCGCGUGAGUGAAGAAGGUUUGCGGAUCGUAAAGCUCUGUUGGAAGCGAAGGGGUAACUAACCAGAAAGGGACGGCUAACUACGUGCCAGCAGCCGCGGUAAUAC
rnacentral:rRNA from 1 species